rnacentral:sRNA from 1 species
GCAUCUGAUAAAUCAGAUGUCUGGUGUGAGAACCUGCUAAGAUUAUCGCGACAUACACACGCCGCGAGCGUGUUUUUU